AGGAAUAUUGGUCAAUGGUCGGCAGACUGAACCAGCCAAGUCGCGUGAGGGAAGACGGCCCUACGGGUUGUAAACCUCUUUUGUCGGAGAGUAAAGUGCGCUACGUGUAGCGUAUUGCAAGUAUCCGAAGAAAAAGCAUCGGCUAACUCCGUGCCAGCAGCCGCGGUAAUACGGAGGAUGCGAGCGUUAUCCGGAUUUAUUGGGUUUAAAGGGUGCGUAGGCGGCACGCCAAGUCAGCGGUGAAAUUUCCGGGCUCAACCCGGACUGUGCCGUUGAAACUGGCGAGCUAGAGUGCACAAGAGGCAGGCGGAAUGCGUGGUGUAGCGGUGAAAUGCAUAGAUAUCACGCAGAACCCCGAUUGCGAAGGCAGCCUGCUAGGGUGCGACAGACGCUGAGGCACGAAAGCGUGGGUAUCGAACAGGAUUAGAUACCCUGGUAGUCCACGCAGUAAACGAUGAAUACUAACUGUUUGCGAUACAAUGUAAGCGGUACAGCGAAAGCGUUAAGUAUUCCACCUGGGGAGUACGCCGGCAACGGUGAAACUCAAAGGAAUUGACGGGGGCCCGCACAAGCGGAGGAACAUGUGGUUUAAUUCGAUGAUACGCGAGGAACCUUACCCGGGCUCAAACGCAGGGGGAAUAUAUAUGAAAGUAUAUAGCUAGCAAUAGUCACCUGCGAGGUGCUGCAUGGUUGUCGUCAGCUCGUGCCGUGAGGUGUCGGCUUAAGUGCCAUAACGAGCGCAACCCCUAUGGACAGUUACUAACGGGUGAAGCCGAGGACUCUGUCUAGACUGCCGGCGCAAGCCGCGAGGAAGGUGGGGAUGACGUCAAAUCAGCACGGCCCUUACGUCCGGGGCGACACACGUGUUACAAUGGCAGGUACAGAAGGCAGCCAGUCAGCAAUGACGCGCGAAUCCCGAAAACCUGUCUCAGUUCGGAUUGGAGUCUGCAACCCGACUCCAUGAAGCUGGAUUCGCUAGUAAUCGCGCAUCAGCCAUGGCGCGGUGAAUACGUUCCCG
rnacentral:rRNA from 1 species